ACAUGCAAGUCGAGCGGACAGAUGGGAGCUUGCUCCCUGAUGUUAGCGGCGGACGGGUGAGUAACACGUGGGUAACCUGCCUGUAAGACUGGGAUAACUCCGGGAAACCGGGGCUAAUACCGGAUGGUUGUUUGAACCGCAUGGUUCAAACAUAAAAGGUGGCUUCGGCUACCACUUACAGAUGGACCCGCGGCGCAUUAGCUAGUUGGUGAGGUAACGGCUCACCAAGGCAACGAUGCGUAGCCGACCUGAGAGGGUGAUCGGCCACACUGGGACUGAGACACGGCCCAGACUCCUACGGGAGGCAGCAGUAGGGAAUCUUCCGCAAUGGACGAAAGUCUGACGGAGCAACGCCGCGUGAGUGAUGAAGGUUUUCGGAUCGUAAAGCUCUGUUGUUAGGGAAGAACAAGUACCGUUCGAAUAGGGCGGUACCUUGACGGUACCUAACCAGAAAGCCACGGCUAACUACGUGCCAGCAGCCGCGGUAAUACGUAGGUGGCAAGCGUUGUCCGGAAUUAUUGGGCGUAAAGGGCUCGCAGGCGGUUUCUUAAGUCUGAUGUGAAAGCCCCCGGCUCAACCGG
rnacentral:rRNA from 1 species